rnacentral:rRNA from 1 species
CCUACGGGAGGCAGCAGUGGGGAAUAUUGCACAAUGGGGGAAAACCUGAUGCAGCGAAGCCGCGUGAGGGAAGAAGUCUUUAGGUACGUAAAGCUCUAUUAGUCGGGAAGAAAAUGACGUUACCUGACUAAUAUGCUCCGGCUAACUACGUGACAGCCGCCGCGGUAAUACGUAGGGGGCAAGAGUUAUACGGAUUUACUGGGUUUAAAGGGAGCGUAGACGGGUGGGCAAGUCAGUAGUGAAAUAUUAUGGCUUAACCAUGGAAUUGCAGUUGAAACUGUGCAGCUAGAGUGCAGGAGAGGUAAGCGGAAUUCGUAGUGUAGCGGUGAAAUGCUUAGAUAUUACGAGGAACACCGGUUGCGAAGGCGGCUUACUGGACUGUAACUGACGCUGAUGCUCGAAAGCGUGGGGAGCAAACAGGAUUAGAUACCCUUGUAGUC